rnacentral:rRNA from 1 species
GACGAACGCUGGCAGCGUGCUUAACACAUGCAAGUCGAACGGAAAGGCCCUGCUUUUGUGGGGUGCUCGAGUGGCGAACGGGUGAGUAACACGUUAGUAACCUGCCCUUGACUUUGGGAUAACUUCAGGAAACUGGGGCUAAUACCGGAUAGGAGCUCCUGCUGCAUGGUGGGGGUUGGAAAGUUUCGGCGGUUGGGGAUGGACUCGCGGCUUAUCAGCUUGUUGGUGGGGUAGUGGCUUACCAAGGCUUUGACGGGUAGCCGGCCUGAGAGGGUGACCGGCCACAUUGGGACUGAGAUACGGCCCAGACUCCUACGGGAGGCAGCAGUGGGGAAUAUUGCACAAUGGGCGGAAGCCUGAUGCAGCAACGCCGCGUGCGGGAUGACGGCCUUCGGGUUGUAAACCGCUUUCGCCUGUGACGAAGCGUGAGUGACGGUAAUGGGUAAAGAAGCACCGGCUAACUACGUG